CUUAGCAGAGAUGCUUUGGUGCCUUCGGGAACUCUGAGACAGGUGCUGCAUGGCUGUCGUCAGCUCGUGUUGUGAAAUGUUGGGUUAAGUCCCGCAACGAGCGCAACCCUUAUCCUUUGUUGCCAGCGGUCCGGCCGGGAACUCAAAGGAGACUGCCAGUGAUAAACUGGAGGAAGGUGGGGAUGACGUCAAGUCAUCAUGGCCCUUACGAGUAGGGCUACACACGUGCUACAAUGGCGCAUACAAAGAGAAGCGACCUCGCGAGAGCAAGCGGACCUCAUAAAGUGCGUCGUAGUCCGGAUUGGAGUCUGCAACUCGACUCCAUGAAGUCGGAAUCGCUAGUAAUCGUGGAUCAGAAUGCCACGGUGAAUACGUUCCCGGGCCUUGUACACACCGCCCGUCACACCAUGGGAGUGGGUUGCAAAAGAAGUAGGUAGCUUAACCUUCGGGAGGGCGCUUACCACUUUGUGAUUCAUGACUGGGGUGAAGUCGUAACAAGGUAGGCGUAGUGCU
rnacentral:rRNA from 1 species